UUAACGACGCUACAGUAUGGCUCAACCUCGUUUAGGGUUUUUUUAAGUUCCGAAAAAUGUUGUUAGUUGAAUUCAA
ensembl:ncRNA K05F1.12 ncRNA